AGAUUGAACGCUGGCGGCAUGCCUUACACAUGCAAGUCGAACGGCAGCACGGGAGCAAUCCUGGUGGCGAGUGGCGAACGGGUGAGUAAUAUAUCGGAACGUGCCCAGUCGUGGGGGAUAACGUAGAGAAAUUUACGCUAAUACCGCAUACGAUCCGAAGGAUGAAAGCGGGGGGACCUAAGGCCCUCGCGCGACUGGGAGCGGCUGAUACUCAGAUUAGCUUGGUUGGUAGAGGUAAAGCUCAACCGAAGGCGACGAUCUGUAGCUGGUUUAGAGAGACGACAGCCA
rnacentral:rRNA from 1 species